GACGAACGCUGGCGGCGUGCUUAACACAUGCAAGUCGAACGAAGUGGCGAACGGGUGAGUAACGCGUAAUCAACCUGCCCUUCAGAGGGGGACAACAGUUGGAAACGACUGCUAAUACCGCAUACUGAAGGAGGGGAUUGCGUUGGAUUAGCUAGUGGGAGGGGUAACGGCCCACCAAGGCGAGGAUCAGUAGCCGGUCUGAGAGGAUGACCGGCCACAUUGGGACUGAGACACGGCCCAGACUCCUACGGGAGGCAGCAGUGGGGAAUCUUCCACAAUGGACGAAAGUCUGACGGAGCAACGCCGCGUGUGUGAUGACGGCCUUCGGGUUGUAAAGCUCUGUUAAUCGGGACGCGUUACCGGACUAGAAGCCACGGCUAACUACGUGCCAGCAGCCGCGGUAAUUC
rnacentral:rRNA from 1 species